UGUCAGACACAGAGAGAGAAGGUCUCAGAGGCAGACUCCUCGCUGAAAAGAAGGGACCCAGAGCUCUUUCCAAACUGCCUCCACCCCAACCAGAGUGCUGAACCUGACCCAGAAGGAGGAAAAGAGAGUUCUGAGUCAGGUGGGAGGCUUGGAGUUUAGACCUGAUGGGCUAACUACUUCCAUCACUGUCACCAAUGACUUUAGAGGGGGCUGCUGAACCACAGACUCCUCCGUGGCUCCCAUUGCUGAUGCAAGGGGAUCAUGCUCAGACCAAUGAGUCAUCUCAGAGGAAAACGGAGACAACAAAGGACAAGUUGUCCAGAAUGGGUGGAACCCGCCCUUGCCUUACAAGCCAAACUUGAGCUCAGGAGGGGUUGAGCCUCACUCAUGAGACAGAAGCCUGCUUGGAUUUAUGACCAUCCUCCCCAUUCAACUGCCUCUUGGAUAAGCUCCAGUUGCUUGUGGUAGGGGAUUGAUGUUAUGGAUCUAGAAACACACACAGCUGCUACCUGUUCAAAGCCCUCCUGAGGCCUCGGCCUGAGCUCUCCUUAAUGGCACCUCGCCGAAAACCAGAACCCUGGACAGCUCCUAAAUGACAGCUCCUAAAAAAAAAAAAAAAAAAGACACCCCCAGCCCUGCCCCA